UAAUCUUACGUUCAAAAUCCUUGUUCCUACAAUAUUCGUGAGAAGCAAUCAGAGUGCCACACUUGGAUUCCACUAAUUUCCCUCCCUAACCAUCUGAUCGAUGUCUCAAACCUUCUAGCCCGUUCGAUCAGCCAACAAAAGGAGAAAUAUAAAACGAAAAUAAACAAAAUAUUAUUCAUUCAUUCUCUCUCUCAUAUCAGAAGCACUUGUCUCUCUUAUCUUCGCCUGUUUUCAAAACUCAAGCUUACAAAAAUCAACAUUUCUAAGUGUUAUUUUCUCAAAAUCUACUCCAGUUAAACAAUAUUUAUCCACUAAAAUUAUCAUAGUUAUCGAUUGAUUUUUCAAAAAUCUGAAGUCUAAAAGUAUAUGUCUAAUCUAGUCCUUUUUUGGGUUUAUAUGAAGUAUUUAUACAAGCCAUUUUUACCUUUCAAAAAGUUUAAAUCUAAAAACUUGUGAUUUAAAGCCCUAGGUUGGCCUUUUCUGGGUUUAAGUGCUUGAUUUCCUCUGUUUGGAUGGUUGGGAUUUCCUCUGUUUUCUUAGUUUUUAACUUAUAGAUCCCAAUUUUUAGGAAAAAUUGCUAGAAAGAACUUCAUGUCAUGUUGGACUCACAUAUUUCCUACACAAUUUGAUUUACAGUUUAUCAAAUGUUUGCUACUUGAUUACAUGCUUAUUAGCUUGCCUUAUUUCCUAUUAACUUACUUUGAGUAUUGUUGACUUUGCCUCCAAGGCCUCCAAGUUGUCUGGUAAGGAGAAAAGGGCCGGUGGUAGUAACCUUGAUAAUCAGUUAGAGAUUAUGAGCAAUAUGCAAAAAUGUUGGUGGAAAAUUAGGUUGUUUUGCUUGAACAUGGGAUUUCCUCAGUUUAGUAUGCUGAUAAUUUCUGGGUUUAAGUGCUUUAUUUCCUCUAUUUGGAUAAUUAGGAUUUCCUCUUUAUAGUAGACUGAUAAAUGAAUUCGAAAUUAAAGGGAAACAAAUAUUAUCCGUAUUCGGAUUUCCGAAUACUGGAUACGAAUAACAUUUUAAAAAUCCGCCGAAUAUCGAAUACGAAUAUUAAAUUAAUUUUUUGGAUAUAAAUACAAAUAUUAUAGUAUUUGUAUCUAUAUAUAUCCAUUUACACUCCUAAUUAUGUGUAUAUGUGUCCCUAACUUAUCACAAGGUAAUAAUAUUAACUCAUUAAAAUUACACUUGUGAGCUCAAAAAGGAAUUGACCUUAGUAUAAUUGGUAGCUAUUUUGAUAUUGUAGUGAGUUAAAUAGCUUUGUCCCAAAAUCAUUGUCAUAUUCUUUUUCUUCAGCGUGUAUAGUAUAUAGGCCAUUGGCCUAGCCUACCUCUUCAACUCUCAAACUCAGUACGAUUAUAAUGAUGAAAGGGGGAGUGGUCUCAACAGUGUUUGGGGAACUAUUAUACCAAAUCCUUAUUGUCCACUAUCUCCUUCUUCUUCCUGCUAGGUUAAUUCCCUGGACAAAGCCCAUUGAUUGGACAAAAGCUUCCCUAUAAAUAGGAGCUCCUCUUCAUUAGAUGAAUUGCUGAAAACUUUUGUUAAGUUCAAAAAUAGAGUUUAAGUGCUGCAACAUUGGAGAAGGCAAUCUAGAAUUAACAGCAAGUUUAUAAUUUAACUUCACAGAGGUAUAAUUCUUAAACCAUGUUCUUAAGUUUGAGUUUGAAGAAUUCUUAUAUUUAUCAUGAAUUUCUUGUUAAUUGGUUGAAGAAUUGAUAUCAACAUGUUAGCUAAGUUUGUAUGUGUGGGCAAGGAAAUCGUACCUUGCUAGGGUUAGGGUUUCGUGUUGGCUGAGGAGGAGAGAAAUCCACGAAAAGUACGGAAUUGAUUGAUUGAUUGAAGAGGGGAGAAU
rnacentral:lncRNA from 1 species